AGUAAAGUCAGCUAAUGAAGCUUUCGAGCCCAUACCCCGAACAUGUUGGUUAAUCCCUUCCUUUACUA
rnacentral:tRNA from 1 species